GGUGGCUCAGUGGUAGAGCACUUGCCUUGCAUGCAUGAGGCCUUGGGCUUGAUUCCUCAGCACCA
rnacentral:tRNA from 1 species